UCCAGCCCUAUAAUUGGCCUGCAAGACAUAAAACUGUCCUUGCAGGCCUUAAGACAAACAUAGAACCUCUUAAAAAUAUGGCCAAUGACAUUCUUUUCCACUUCCACCUUCACUGUGGAUCCAUGAUUACGAAGUAAGAGCUCGUUUGCAUAAUCAUAGAUCCUUUUAUAUUGUUCUUUGAAAGACCCAUCUACAUGGUCUGAAGCAAUGGACUUUGCUCUAAAAGCCAUGGAUCUAGAUACACCAACAUUCCACUUUCUACUUAUCUUGUCACGAAUUUCCC
rnacentral:lncRNA from 1 species